AUACGUAGGUGGCGAGCGUUGUCCGGAAUUACUGGGUGUAAAGGGCGCGUAGGCGGGGAUGUAAGUCAGAUGUGAAAUACCAUGGCUCAACUGUGGGGCUGCAUCUGAAACUAUGUUUCUUGAGUGCUGGAGAGGAAAGCGGAAUUCCUAGUGUAGCGGUGAAAUGCGUAGAUAUUAGGAGGAACACCAGUGGCGAAGGCGGCUUUCUGGACAGUAACUGACGCUGAGGCGCGAAAGCGUGGGGAGCAAACAGGAUUAGAUACCCUGGUAGUCCACGCCGUAAACGAUGGAUACUAGGUGUAGGAGGUAUCGACCCCUUCUGUGCCGGAGUUAACACAAUAAGUAUCCCACCUGGGGAGUACGGCCGCAAGGUUGAA
rnacentral:rRNA from 1 species